AUGGGGAAGACAGAUGACAACCCAGAACCUAGUAAAGAGGUGAUGGAUGGGGUGGAAAAUAAAGGCUUCCGGGCAAUUGGAGCAAAAGAGACCUCAGGAACAGUACUGCAGGGUGGCAGGGCUCCCACCCCAGACCCUGGCCCUGGCUCCAAGAGAGAGACUAAGCAUGGAGGAAGCAAGAAUGGAAAGAAAGAAGGCCUCUCUGGAAGCUCGUUUUUCACCUGGUUUAUGGUAAUUGCUUUGCUGGGAGUUUGGACGUCAGUAGCAGUUGGCUGGUUUGAACUUGCAGAUUAUGAAGAAGUUCUAGGCAAGCUUGGGAUAUAUGAUGCUGAUGGACAUGGAGAUUUUGAUGUAGAAGAUGCUAAAGUAUUGCUAGGCCUUAAAGAAAUAUCUGUCCCAGCACAGCCAACAUCACCAGAAUCUGAGAAGACCAUCCAGCCUGCUGAGAAGUCAUAUGUUGAAUCAGAGCACAAGAAUGCUGAUGUAGAAUUGGAAGAGGAAAUUCAGUCUGUUCUUCAGGAAGCUCUCCAUUCCCAGCCUGGAGGGAGACAUGAAGAUGUAGAUGAAAGUGUAAAUGACCAGUGGCAAGUGAAGGAAGAAAUACAUGGAGAAACUUUUGAAGCUCCUACAACAGAUGACUUGCUCAGAGAAUUAGAGAAUGAAAUGCCAGAAGCAUAUGAGACACCAGACUCCGUUCAGAAAGAUGCUGAUCUUUUGGCAGAUGAUUUUUGA